rnacentral:rRNA from 1 species
GACGUAGGGGCGAGCGUUGUCCGGAAUUACUGGGCGUAAAGAGCACGUAGGCGGGAACUUAAGUCAGGUGUGAAAGACCGUGGCUCAACCACGGGGUGGCAUUUGAAACUGGGUUUCUUGAGGGCAGGAGAGGAAAGCAGAAUUCCUGGUGUAGCGGUGAAAUGCGUAGAAAUCAGGAGGAAUACCAGUGGCGAAGGCGGCUUUCUGGACUGACCCUGUCGCUGAGGUGCGAAAGCGUGGGUAGCAAACAGGAUUAGAUACCCGCGUAGUCCCUGAG